AAUGACACGUGCGUAAAAAAAUCACUGGGUUUUCCUAUGGCCCUCUGGCAUCGCUGCUUUCGCCACAGUUUUCUGGCCUCAAAAUAGAUAGAAAGUGAUGGUUAGAGAUCAGCACGCUUUUCCGUGACAGAGGUACUUAUUUUGCAAAUUCAUAUUUAAUUUUGUAUUUGGGAAGGGGAGAGCGAUGUAUAUUUUAAAACAACAGUAAUAUUUUAUAGACCGACAUUUCUGCAGUUCCUUACGUUGCUAUAAAUGGAGAAAUCACUUCGUCUUCUGAAUAAAAAGACCAGAAGAAUUGUGGUCUGAAUUCGCCUUUUCCAAAGAACUUCUGAGUUUUUGUUUGUUGUGGUAUCACUCCAGUGAUUUCUGCAGACAACAGAAUAUUUGGGUUUUUAAUCGGUUAUUCUAGUUACCUUCACUAUAUAGCAGGAAAAGUAUUCUUGUUCUCAGUGUGUCUUGUAGUUGUUUAGAAUAGGAGAGCUACUAAACUGGUAACUGUAUUUCAUUAAAGCUAUGACAUUUUCUUUUCAGGUAGUUUUGUGGUGUUUGAGCCUUCAGAAAGUAAUAAACAUCCAGAGAGUAUUUUUUUUUUUUCAGCAUUUAUAGAUGAUGUUGAAUGUCACAGAAGUUGACCAUGAGGUUUUUUUCAUCCACACUCUUCAGGUUUUGGUUUUUUUUAGCUUAGAUCUAUAUUUACUGGUAUACACAAAAAAUUAUUUUACAGUACUGUAUUUGAUAAAGGGCUGUUUCAGCUGAAAACCAGAGUUGCUUUCUAAAACCACAGUGAUGCAAAAUGUAGUUGGUUUUGUAUUGUAUUUUAGUAAUAUCGAAGUUGUUAUCCCUUGCAGCUGAGGCUCCUUUCCCACUCCUUUACCCUGUUCCCCCCGCCCCUUCUUUAUUUUUCCUUUUUUCCUUUCUCCUUUUUUUCCCCCCGUUCUGUUACUUUUUGCAAAAGAGGCCAACAAAAGGUAAUCACCAAGAUGCAAAUAUAAGCAUAUUUUUGUUCCUACCGCUUUGGAUGAACUCCAGACCUUACCAAAGUUGGUGGCAAUAGUCUGCCUGACUGAACAGGUAAGAUUUCAAUCCUUGUCUUGUAUCCAAAGGUUCCAAAUUGAUUUUGCAGAGCUGGGCAAGUAUCGUCUCCCCAGGAUCUAGAGUAAAUGAAGUGAUAGGGAAAGUAACGUCACAUUACACCGAGCUGUCCGUUGGCUGAAAAGAGGCAGCAAAAGCAUAUGCGAGGAAGAAUACAAGACUUAUUUUUUUCUUUUUUUCAGCGACUUUAUUCAUUUACAACUGAGGGGAAAUACUGAAUUCAGGACCCGUCUUGUGUUCAUCUCACCGCACCUGGAAGAAACAUGCCAUUGAUGAAGAAAAUGGAACAUAUUAUUUCACUGAUCUAAAUGGUUAUGCCCGUAGGAUCCAGUCCGGCUUCCGCUGUAACCAGCGGAAUGGUCUUCAUAAAGCCCCGGGCACAAAGUGUCCGCAAGCACGCGUGUCACUGUGUUUUGUGUUUCGUAGCUAUAGUGGAUUCUCCUACAGCAUCUGCGGAGAGAUGAAAAUUUAACAGCUGAAGCAGCAUGGAAAGAAGGAACGUUUGUAACUGGAGAGCGUUAACAUUUGCAGCAGUGUUUCCCUGUUGCAGCAGAGAUUUGCACCCUCUGAGGCUGGAAUAGCUGAGCACAAGCAGGAGGAUUCUUACCCCACCCUCUCUCAGGCUGGCCGAAAUCAUCUGCUUCCGUGAUUUUUGUGGAGCCAGGUUUUGCUGCAAGGCAGUCGAGAGGGAGGUGGCAUGAAAAGCACUGAACAGCUGGAAAACAGGAGAAGCUGUGGGAUUUACUUCUGAGCAAAGCAGAUAUAAACACACACACGGGAGGCAAGCACAGGUGUUAAGAGUGGUUUUUAAAAAGAAGGGAUUUGGAAAGUAAGAAAAAGAUGCUAUAAAAGAGGCUCUCUAAAAUGGGGAGAGAAAAACUUGAGAGCGAUAGGGACAGGAUCUCUUCGGAUGAAGCUGUGCUCUGACACUGUUUUUACAAAUGUCCGAUAAAUCCGUUCAUAUUUUAGCCUUUCCAGGUACCGGUAGAUGUAAUCUUUGCCUUCUGUUCCCUUUGCAUCCAUGCAAAAAGCAUGUACUUUUUUUCUGCUUUGUGAACAUUCAAAAUGACUAAGAGCAUGGUUUCAAGCCUCGCAGUGCUUUAUCGAGACUAAAUAAAACAACAUGCCAGGAGAGAUAAAGCAAAGUGGCUGUUGUACCCUUCCUCAAAAUCCCCUCUCCACGCUCCAUGGGGUAGUUUUUCCAGUGUUGUAUAGGAAUGAAUCCUUGUGCAUUAACGGAUAUAGUUAUGUAAUAUACCUUCACAGAUGUGUAAAAACAGUUACUGAAACAGAUGCAGUUACAGAGAGAUGGUUAUCUUUUAGGGAUUGCUGUACCUGGGUUAGCUGAUCCAAAUGCUUCGUACAGCUCCUGGGUUAAUUAGAGAACGGAGAUGAACAAUGAAGGAGUGGAAAAGGUUGAAAACGGAGGAUGGAAGCACUGGGACAAGGCACGCACUGUAGGGACUUGGGAAUCUGAUGGUUAACAGAGUGAGGGAGAGCUAGCGUGUGAGAGGGAAUUACUGUGUAACAAAAUUAUGAGUGGUGAACAAAACAGAAAUUCGAGAGACUAUAUAUUCAUGUGAGAGCAGUAGCUGAAUGCCACGAGGCAGUGGGACUCCUAAUGCUACAGUAGCACCUGUGGAUAUUAUAGAUAUUCUUCAGAAUAAUAUCUACAAACCUGACAUUUGUAUUUAAGAAUUUUACACCUCUGGCUGUCCCCUGAAUCUGCAGAAAUAAUAUUAAACUGUACUUCAGGUCGUCUUCUGAGAUCCCUGCUCUGUUAGUGGCCUUUGUCCCUGAAAUUAGUCAGGGAGUAAAGCCAGCAGCAUGGCGCCGGGACCAAAGUAGUGCUUCAGAGGAGCCGAUGCUGAUGUUUUUUGAAGCAUUUGACAAUUUUGUUGGCCAAACAUAACCCUGCUGUCCAACUAGAAGCCUGAAUAUUUGGGCUGCACAAUGGACUGAGAUGACUGAAACAUCCCUUUGUGGAUGAUGUGCAGUUAAAAAUGUCACACUUCCACAUAUUGCCUGCAUCUCUACAGGCAAUGACUGUUACAGGUCUUAAGGCGUCCUUUGAUAGCCCCUCCUUAGUGGUGCAUCUGGAGCUGGGCAGACCCAGGGUCUCCUCAUCCCAAGGGAGAAUGAAGCUGUCCAGCCUCCGCGGGCUGCACGCUCUCAGUUAUGUCACCCUGUGCCCUCAUUUUGCACUUCUGCAAACACUCAGUCCUUGUCCUCUCCAGUGCCGUCCUCAGCUCCUACAAAGCCCCGUGAUGGAACCGUCCCUUCUUCUGAGGUGGGGAACUAUGAGAAGGAUAUAGAUGAAUAGGAUAUACAUAAAAUUGUGUUUUCUUCUCAUUUUAAAUCAUUUGGAAGUUAAUAACAUUAGCCAAAGUAGGAUCAAACUUUGGGUAUUUAUUUCCUCUCCUUUUAACGUAGCUUUAGCUCAAUCAUCUUUAUCUAUCACAACAAAUUAAAUAGUUGUUUCAUCAUUUGCAACAUCACCUAGGCAGCUGGACUAGCUGUGUGCAGACUUAAAAAGCGCUCUCUCUUGUUAAGCGAGAAAAGUCACUCGGUAAAUUCAAGUGGAUGGCUGUUCAGAUGUGUACACUGAAGACCACAGUGUCUCUACCCUUCAUUGAAGGACUGUGCUUAAAAUGCUGCAUUCAAACGUACGUAUGGACGCACAUAUACACCAACAAAAAUGCUGGUGACACCAUAAGCAUUCAACUUGCUCUAGUCUACUGUAGAAUAUUUGGCCAAGAUUUUAGAUUUCUCAGUAGCUUUGUGUCAGUGAGGGUAAUGGUUCUUGGAGACGUCAGUGUGCACGUAGAUGAAUAUCCUUCGUUGGGUCAGCAGCUUGUGAGAAUUUACGACUGUCGCAAGCUGGGUUGAAUACAUAGGUUCUAAAAAAGGGUGAUAGGAUGUUUCAUAAGAGGAUAUUCCUCUGAAUUGCUUAAGCCCCAUUUUAGAUAGCUUCAGGCGUUGAACUAGAAAUAUUUUCAUUCUAGUGGUGAUUUUUCACUAGGUGUUACUAACAGCAAGUUGUCUUUAUCAGUCAGUGCAGCUGACGUGACGAGCGCUCUGUUGCUUGUGGGGUGUUCUUGACUAGCCCACAGCCCUCCGUAAGUGUAGAGUAGACAACUUUCUGCCUAAUUCUAUGCCUAUUCCUUGCCUUCUCUUCUUGCCUCCUACUCAAAGUGGUAUGGAAACCCCUAAGGGGUUUAGAAGUGAGGCACUGGACUAGGUGCCAUCACUGUGCUGACAAUACACAACUCUCCAUUCCCCCGUCUCAUUUUCUCUGAUACAUGUUGCUUCAGUAGAAAAGAUAAUUCAGUGUCUGCCAGAGACUGAGGCUUGGAGAAGAGCUAUCUGGUCACCUAACUUUGCAGUCGCAGAGUGGGGAAAAAGGAGAAAAAAAUGGUCCUGUGUCAGCACCUUUGAUCAAUGCGUUUAACCACUACUUGUGACACGUAUUUUAGACACGCAGGCUACUUCUGCAGAUAGAUACGUAUGUAUCAGAGGCAAAUAAAGAGAUGUCUUCAACUACAUUUAGGCAAAUUCUAUCACUUUUUUUGUCAGCAAACCCUUCUCCAGUUGUGCACGUCACUGUUGCAGCUCAGUUACAUUUUUGCAGUACAGUCUGCAGUCAGCUACUCUGAAGCUAGUCCAGAUUCUCUCCCGAACAGGGAGACUCAUCUUAACUGAGUAUCGUAUGUGUGUUCAAGAGCUGUGCCAAAUUGUCGCGUGGAACCUAAAAUAUUGAACUACAGCAAAACAAACGUCAUGUUCCACGGGCUUUCAGAUACUACAAGUCACUUUCACACCCUUUACAUAUGGUGUUUAUUAGCAGAGUAAAUGUGAAAAAAAUUGAAUCCGGGUCUUGUUGGUUUUUCAGAACAAAAUAAAUUCCAUUUUUUUAAUCUCAUAAAUCUAUCGAAAAUAGCAAAGUCUAGGAACAAUUAUAAAUAUGGAUGUACUGAGUGAAUGAAAAUACAGAUAUAAUAAUGUCACAAACAAAUGCUGUUUUGAAGGAUACAACAAACAUUAUUUGAAAGUUAAAAAUUCAGAAAUCACAACUUCCAUAUUCAGAGGACAGAU